rfam:Nematostella vectensis strain CH2 x CH6 NEMVEscaffold_95_Cont12087, whole genome shotgun sequence.
CCUGCGAUAGCUCAGUUGGUAGAGCGGAGGACUGUAGAUUUAUAAUUGGGAUCUCUAGGUCGCUGGUUCGAAUCCUGCUCGAAGGA